rnacentral:rRNA from 1 species
GAUGAACGCUAGCGGCAGGCUUAACACAUGCAAGUCGAGGGGUAACAGGGAUUAGCUUGCUAAUUUGCUGACGACCGGCGCACGGGUGCGUAACGCGUAUACAAUCUGCCUUUUACAGAGGGAUAGCCCAGAGAAAUUUGGAUUAACACCUCAUGGUAUUAUUGAUUGGCAUCAAUUAGUAAUUAAAACUUCGGUGGUAAAAGAUGAGUAUGCGUUCUAUUAGCUAGUAGGUAAGGUAACGGCUUACCUAGGCGACGAUAGAUAGGGGUCCUGAGAGGGAGAUCCCCCACACUGGUACUGAGACACGGACCAG